rnacentral:tRNA from 2 species
GGUUUUAUAGUCAAAGAAAAUGAUAUUAGACUGCAAUUCUAAAGUUGUUUAUAUAAACUAAGACCU